AACGGUUUGGUCUGCGCCAGAUUUAGGCUCUUGUCCGAAAGGGCGUGGGUUCAAAUCCCACAGCCGUCA
rnacentral:tRNA from 1 species